GUAGGUUAUUGCCAGGGUUUUUAUUUUUAUACUUUAAAUUUUGAUUUUAUUUUUAUGUUAUUUAAAUAUUUGUGUUUUUAAAUGUGUUAUUUAAAUAACAUAAAAAAUAAAAUAUAUAUUGACAUGGAUUAAACAAAGAUAUAUAUUAUCUUAUGUUGCAUAAACAAAUUGGCAAAAUAGAGAUGGAAGAUAAAAAUAUGGUCAAAGUAAUAAGAGUC
rnacentral:misc_RNA from 6 species